rnacentral:lncRNA from 1 species
CAUUAAAAAAAAAAUUCUCUCUAAAAAAAAAAUUUAAAAAAAAAUUGAGGAAUAAUUUAUAUAAAAUUCAUAAAUAUUGCAUAUUCACCUCAAUGAUCCUUUACAUACACAGGCAAUUGCCACACACUGAUCAAGAAUGUUUCUUUGUGCUGGGUAUGAUCGUAUAUGUCUGUAAUACUAGCUGAUUGGGAGGCCGAGGCAGGAGGAUCACAAGUUCAAAUCCAACCUUAGCAACUUAGCAAGAUCCUAAGCAACUAAGUGAGACCCUGUCUCUAAAUACCAAAAAAAAAAAAAUCUUCCUUUUGCCCCAGAUUCCACCCAGAAAUGACCAAUAUUUGGACUUCUAAAACCAUAGGUUAGUGUUGGGGUAUUCUUUUUCUUUCUGUUUUGUUUGUUCUGUGGUACUGGGUAUUGAAUCUGGGGUACUCUAUCUCUGAGCUGUACCCCCAGCCAUUUUGAUUUUUUAUUUUGAUACAGGAUCUUUCUGAGUUGCCUAGGCUAGCCUUGAACUUGCGGUCCUCUUGCCUCAAUCUUCCAAGUAGCUGAGAUUAUAGGCAUGCACCAAAGAGCCCAGCAGUUUGGGGGUAUUCUUGAACUUCAUGUGAAUGCAGUCAGAUAAAUGAUAUGUCUGUCUUGUUGCCAUCCACAAUGACUCUGAAUUGUCUUUUUUUAUUGGGUGUAGCAAUAACUCCUUUAACCAGCUAGUAAAUAUUUUAGGUUUGGUAGAUCUAAUGGUCUCUGUAACAUCUGUUCAACCCCUUUAAGUGGCAUGAAAGCAGUCACAGAUGACAUAUAAACAUGACUGUGUUCACAAAACAUUAUGGGGAGCUAGAAUUGGUGGCACACAUCUGUAAUUCCAGUUACUUGGGAGGCUGAAGCAAGAGGAUCAAAAGUUUGAGACCAGCAUUGAUGACUAAGCAAGGCCUUAUCUCAAAAUAAAAUUUUUAAAAGGAUUGAGGAUGUAGUUCAGUGGUAAAGUACCUCUCUAGCAUGGAUGAUGUACUGGGUUUAAUGCCUGGUACUGAAGAAAAAAUAAAACAAAAAGCUUGAUGGACAUGGAAAUUUGAAUUUCACAUAAUUUUGAUAUAUCAGAAAAUGCUAUUUUUUAACCACUUAAAACUAUUGUUAGGUUAAUGACCAUGCAAAACUACAGUGAUGGGCUGGCUUUAGUCUACAGACUGUAGUUGUUCAAUCCUUAUCAUAAUGUAAUCUAUUUUGUAUUGGUAGACACUGUGUGUCUUCUGGUAUUUUUGCUAUUAUGACAUUUAACAUUCUUGAAAUAUCUUUUGGUAGACUUAGAGUUCAUUUCUGUGGGGAAUCUAAUAGUGUAAUAGCUGGGUCAUAAGUAGGCAUAUAUUCUCUAAUAUGUGUGUAUAUACAUAUUUGUAGAUACUGCCAAAUAUCUAUAUACCUUCACAUACCUUUCCAAAGUGGUUGUGCCAGUUUACACCUCUAUCAACAAAGUAAAGGAUUUCAGCUGCUCUUCUCGGUCUUCUUAAAUUUUGUAAUAUUAAUAGGUGAGUAGUGGUAACUCAGUGUGAUUUUAAUUUGUGUUUCUCUGAUGAAUGUUCAGGUUAGCCAUUUGAUGGCCAUUUGAAUAUCCUCUAUGUCGAACUGCCUCUUCAGCUCUUGACCAUUUUACUAAAAUCAAUUUGUUCUUUUUUCUGUUUAUUUAUAGGUACUUGCAUAUCCUGGAAAUGAGGCCCUUGUAGGAUAUAUGUAUUGAUACAUGUUACAGGUAUUUUCCCCCAGGUUAUCAAUUGCCUUUUCACUCUGAUAAUGAAGAGAACAUAUGCUCUUCAUUUGAAUGAAAUCAGUUUAUUAGUCUUUUAUUUGUAGUUGAUGGCUCAUUCUGUUUAAAACUUUACCCUACCAUUGCAGACAAAGUGCUAUGUUUGGAUGUUUUUGUCCUCUUCAAAAUUCAUGUUGAAACUUAAUCCCUAAUGUAACAGUUUGGGGAGGUGGGACCUAAUUGGAGGUAUUUAAAUUAUCAGGGCCCAGACCUCAUGAACAGAUUAAUGACACUAUAUAAAGGGCUUUUGGGGCACACCCAUAAUCCCAGCGGCUGGAGAGGCUGAGGCAGUAGGAUCACAAGUUCAAAGCCUCAGCAAAAACAAGGUGCUAAGCAACUCAUCAAGACCCUGUCUCUAAAUAAAAACAGGGCUAGGGAUGUGGAUCAGUGACCGAGUACCCCUGAGUUCAAUCUCCGGUACUAAAAAAAAAAAAAAAAAGA